UCAGCUGUUGGCCCGGGCGGAGGGAGGAUGUACGUCAGUCCGCCUCUGUGCCCUAGUGUUGUGACGAGCUGUACCUUGACAUCCCCAGUUCGAAUCCCCCGCACGUGCUAAGGAAGGGAUUGCGUGUACCUCGUGUUAGUUAUUGAUGGUCCAGCCGCCGCCAUGGGGGACGAGUCUAGCGUGCGUGUGGCCAUCAGGAUCCGGCCCCAGAUCGCCCGUGAGCUGAUCGACAUGUGCCGCGUGUGCACCAGCGUCACACCCGGGGAGCCGCAGGUGUGGCUGGGCUCCGACAAGGCCUUCACCUACGAUCACGUCUUCGACCAGCCCGCCGGCCAGACCGAAGUGUACGAGUCGUGCGUGGCCGGCCUGAUCGAGGGCUGCUUUGAGGGCUACAAUGCGACCGUCUUGGCGUAUGGACAGACGGGUUCGGGCAAGACCUACACCAUGGGCACGGGGCUGGAGAUGGAGGGUGACCCCGCGUUCGUGGGCAUCAUCCCCCGUGCGGUGGAGCACCUCUUCCGCGGCAUCGACGAGCGCCGGGAGGCCGCGCGCGCCACCGCCACCACCCCGCCGGAGUUCAAGGUCACGGCGCACUUCAUGGAGCUCUACAACGAAGAGAUUAUUGACCUUUUUGAACCGGGCUACAAGGGCUCGGGCAAGGGCGGUAUCCGGAUCCACGAGGACGCUGAGGGCGGCAUCUACGUCACGGGCGUCACCACCAGGAAUGUCACGUCCCUGGAGGAGACGAUGCAGUGCCUGCGGGCGGGCGCGCUGUCCCGCACCACCGGCUCCACCAACAUGAACACGCAGUCGUCACGCUCGCACGCCAUCUUCACGCUCCUCGUCCGGCAGCAGAGGAUCGCCCCGGUCAGAGAGGACGAUGGCGAGGAAGGAGGCAGCGGGGAGGGCGGAGCGCCACAAGAGGGCAUUCCGGAGUUCGAAACCCUGACGGCCAAGUUUCAUUUCGUGGACUUGGCGGGCUCGGAGCGGCUCAAGAGGACGGGCGCCACGGGGGAGAGGGCCAGGGAGGGCAUAUCCAUCAACUGUGGCCUGCUGGCCCUGGGGAACGUGAUCUCAGCCCUUGGGGACGUGAGCAAGCGGGCUUCCCAUGUGCCUUACAGGGACUCCAAGCUCACCAGACUCCUGCAGGAUUCUCUAGGAGGCAACAGUCGCACCCUGAUGAUCGCCUGCAUAUCCCCAAGCGACACAGACUUCAUGGAGACGCUCAACACCCUCAAGUAUGCCAACCGUGCCCGCAACAUCAAGAACAAGGUGAUGGUGAACCAGGACAAGGCAAGCAAGGCCAUCGCCAUCCUGCGCCAGGAGAUCCAGCAGCUCAGAGUGGAGCUGAUGGAGUACAAGCAGGGCAAGAGGAUUGUGGGUGAAGAUGGGAGUGAGGCGGUGAACGACAUGUACCACGAGAACCAGAUGCUGUCCACUGAGAUUGCCAACAUGCGCACCAGACUCAAGGCGCUGCAGGAGACCGUGGAGGUGCUCACCGCCAAGGCUGCAGCGCUGCUGGCGGAGAAGGCGACCAGCGGCUGGAUCACAUCGGGUGAAGGGGUAGACAUGGCCACAGUGAUCCAGGGCUACCUCAAGGAGAUUGAAGAGCUCCGGGCCAAGCUGUGUGAGAGUGAGAACCUUUGCCAGCAGCUGCGCAAACAACUCAACAAUCGCGCCAACAACCCCGCCCGGCUCUCCAUGUCCCCUAUGCAUGUUCCUAUGUCAGGAUCAAUGUAUGGGUGUGUGGAUGAUGCGGAGGAAGGGCAGACCUUCACCCAGCUGAUUGAGGAGGCCAAGAGGGACCUCAAUAGGGACCUGCAGGAAGUCAAGAGGAAGAAGAGGGCGUCAGGAGGCUCAGGUGGAGAGGACGAUGAUGAGGAAGACGAUGAUGAGGAAGAGAACGAGGAGGAAGAGGAAGGGGAGAUGGAGGAGAACUAUGAGAGCUCAGAUGAAAGUGGGGAGGAUAAGGAGAACUACAACGAGGAGCUGGCGGAGUUGACGAGCGAGAUAUCGAUCAAGCAGAAGCUGAUUGAAGGUCUCGAGCUUAGCCAGCGUCGCCUGGAGACCAUGAGGCACCAGUAUGAGGAUAAGCUGAAUGUCCUCAUGAACCGCAUCCGAGCAACGCAGGAGGAGAGGGACAAGGUAAUCGCUAACAUUAAGUCGAGUAGCAGUGCCGGGGAUGAUAAAGUGAAGUCAGUGAAGCAGGAGUACGAGCGGCGAAUCUGUAACAUGCAGAACGAAAUGAAGAAGCUGCAGGCCGCCCAGAAGGAGCACGCCAAGCUGAUGAGGGAGCGAGGACAACACGAGAGGCAGCUGAGGACCCUGAAGGCCGACCUGGCGGAGAUGAAGAAAACCAAAGUCAGGCUGAUGAAUAAGAUGAAGGAGGACAACACAAGGGCCAAGCAGGAGGAGCUCAAGAAGAACCGAGAGAUCGCCCAGCUGCGCAAGGCAUCCCGCAAGCAGGAGACAUACAUCAAGAGCCUCGAGGCAGAGAACCGUCUCAAGAAUGUUGUGCUGAAGCGCAAGACGGAGGAGAUUGCAGUGCUGAAGAAGGCACCGAGGCAGGGACUCAGCAGCAAGGCCUCUGGGAGACUUAGAAAGAGGGUGGGCUUGGCAACACAGGCCACCACUUUCUCACCCAAGGUGGCCAAGCAGAAGUGGCAGUCGCUGGAGCAGAACAUCAACAAGGUGGCGUACAACAAGCAGACCGUCAGCAGCAUGGAGCGGGACAUGGAGAGGUGGCUGAAGGAGCGUGAGUCACUGAGUCGGCAGCUGGAGCGAGUCAUGAGGAAGCGAGAGCGUGCUGACCCAGCAGACAUGACGGCCUACAAUGACCUGAACGACCAGGUGGAGGCACUGAGAGCCAACAUCGACUACAUCCACGAGAACAUCCAGGAGUGCCAGGACAACAUCAUGAGCAUGGAGGAGAGCAAGGAGCAGUCAGACCUGUUGAGUUCAGACGCAGUGACAACUGGCCUAGGCAAAGAAGAGUCCCACUACCUCAUCAGCAAGCUGAUCAACAUGACAGUGAACCAAGCCACUCUGGCAGCACAGCGGCAGGCAGCCAUCUCGGAGUUGGAGGGCAAGAUGAAGCAGAUGGAGCAGACAACUAGUGUUCAGGAGCAGCUUCUGGCACACGUGUUGGGCGACAAGGACCUGGAGGUGUACAGCCUCAUGUCCUCCCUUGUGGCAGCCGAGGACAACACUCCCGCCUCCACCGAGUCCUCCCGAUCCAACUCACCCACUGACGGCCUGAUGGAAACCUCUGCCACUUCGCUCGUCUCACUCGAUUCCCUAAAAAGGAGAGACAAGGCGCGCCGAAAGACAGCCACCACAGAGGACAUGCUCUUCACCAAUGGCUCCGAGAAGAAUGGGAACCUUGGAGCCACCAGCACAGACCCCACAGCAGCUGCCUCAGGUCCGACGUCCCUCCCAGAGCGCUCGACAACAGACCGCAUGACCGUCAGCCUUGGGACAGACCGCAUGAGUACUAGUCUGGAGGGCGUGCUCAGCGAUGAAGGUUUGCUCAUGCCUCCUCCGUCCUCCUCCUCCUCUGGCUCCCUACGGCCAGUCCCCAGGGUCACCUCGGCCCCCAACCCCCUCAAGAACCUGUUGACACCCCGCCCUGACAAAGCCUCACCAGUCCUAAGCCGCAAGUCUUAUGAGCGAGCAGAGUUGACAUCCCCGCGCCUCGGCAGACGGUCGCUCACCUCUCUAAGCGCCUCAAACCUAAAUUUUUCACGGCAAAAUUCUGCGGACAACAACCCAGAGUGCACCCCGCCCACCUCCCCCACCACCUACCGGCGCUCCACCUCAAGGGACGAAAACGUGUUCUCCCGCCUCACCUCGGCCACCUCCUCAACACGGGAGACUCGGCCAAACACGGGCGUCAUCAAUCCCCACGCCGGCAGGGCCACCCAGCGGUCAGUGCUGGCCUGCACCCACGUGGCUCAGGGCCACUCCAAGGCGGUGCUCUCAGUCCACGCCACGGAUGACCUCCUCUUCUCAGCGUCCAAAGACCGCACGGUGAAGGUGUGGGACUUGGUGCGCGGGCAGGAGAUCCAGUCCCUCGGUGGCCACCCCAACAACGUGAACUGUGUGAGGUACUGUGAGGCCCAGCACACCUGCUUCUCUGUGUCCUCCUCCUUCAUCAAGGUCUGGGACAUCCGAGAAAACCCUGCCCGCUGUACCCGUACGCUAAGCUCAGCAGGCCUCACCUCUGUUGGCUUCCCCGUUCCCAGCACUCAGUCCCGCACGCUGCAGAUGCCACCCGGGGAGACUCUCAUCACAGACGUCGCCAUCUCCACUGCCACCAACAUCCUGUACUCUGCUGCCGGGAACAUUGUCAGGAUAUGGGAUCUCAGGAAGCACUCGGCGGUAGGUAAGCUUGCUGGAGGUCACCAAGCCGCUGUGAUGUGCCUGGCAGUGGACUCCACAGUUCCCGGCCAGGAUGUGGUGGCCACCGGCUCAAAGGACCACUACAUCAAGGUAUUUGACAUCACUGGCACCCACUCAGGCCUCGUCAACCCCCGCCUUAACCUUGAGCCGCCACACUACGAUGGCAUUCAGUCCCUUGCCCUCUACGGGGACACCCUCUUCUCAGGCUCCAGGGACAUGUGCAUCAAGAAGUGGGACUUGCAGCGCGGCGAGCAUGUCCAGUCCCUCAACAACGCACACAAGGACUGGGUGUGCGCCCUCUGCUUCACCCCUGGUGGACAGAUUGUGCUCUCUGGUUGUCGUGGAGGCAUGAUAAAGAUGUGGUCUGCCGAGAGCUGCCAGCUCAUAGGAGAGCUGAGGGCCCAUGCAUCACCCAUCAAUGCCAUCACCACAAACUCCACCUGCAUCUUCACUGCCUCAAACGAGGGGGACAUUCGGGUGUGGAGGCCGUUGGUGGGGGUGGCAGCGGGCAGGACCUUUGAACUUUCCAUCUAGGUCAGCCCCUCCUCUCCCCCUCUUCAUCCUUCACAUGUGCGCCAGGAACAUGACUGCACAAUAGGCAUGUGGAGGAUGCGCACCAGCUAUGAUGUCUCUCCAGAGCUGUCCGACGCUUCGUGACCUGACCUCAGAAGUGAUGCCCCUCACCACAAACAGCACCAGGUGACUUCAGGCUCUCUCCUGAUGACCUGCAGCCUCGGGGACAACCAGUUAUUUUAAGUUUUCUUCAUUUUAUGUUUCCUCUCAUGGCCUCACCUCAGGGCAGUCCUCUGAGGUGGUGGUGACCCAUGCAUUGUGUAUAUAUUAUUAUUCCUGUACAGUUCUCUUUUAAGUCCUUUUUUUUUUUUUUUUUUUAGAUUAAUGAACAAUAUUUUAUUUCAUUUUAUGCUUUCCUUCUUACUUUCACACACUCCUUCCUUGUUGAUCAGGAGGACCUUCCAGAGGAGUGCCAUGUUUAAUUUGACAUUUUAGAAUCUUUUAUUUUAUUAUGGCGACCUCUUGUGUUUUAAAUUUUUUUCUUCAUGGAAUUCUACUUUGUCAUUUUAUUAUUUUUUUUACUGAUGUAUAUUUUUUUGAUGGAUUAAAGAUCUUUAUCAACACCUUUUCACCAGUGGAAUGACCUCAAGGGAGUAUUAUAUUGAUGCAAUUAAUCACAUUAUUUUAUUGGGAAGGUGAUGCAUAUUAAACGCAUUGAUCUGCACAUAAACUGGCAGAUUAGAAACAAGCCCACAGCAAGUUGUCAUUCAACAUUGUCAUAACACAUGAAAUUUGUGAUCUCUGCUGAAGAAAACAAAACUAAAAAUGUAAAGCAAAAGGCCAAACCUUUCAGAAAUUUUGCCAGCCUUGUAGUCAGCAAAUUCCUGAGAAGUUUUGUAAUUUUUCUGAGUAAUGUUCAUGGUGAUUUAAACAAGCUGUAGUCACCCAAGCCCUUUUUGUGCCAGGGUGAAUCAGCAGAACAAGGCUGGCUCACAUGUGUACAUGUGUGUGUGUGUGUGUGUGUGUGUGUGUGUGUGUGUGUGUGUGUGUGUUGAGAUAGAGAGAGAGAGGAAUAUUUUCACUGUCUCAGUCAUUAAGAGAGUUAGUUAUCUACAUCAGAUCAGCUUAACAAUACAGUAGAUAUUGUUACAGCACCUGAUACAGCAGCACCCAAGCUUUAAUCAAACAUCUUUACCACCCUCAGCACCACCACAGCUUACAAGGGAAAAUUAUUACUACUUACUGCUUCUACUGUGCACCAAGCCCAUGCACAGCACUGCAAGCACUUAAAUGUUAUUAUUAUCUACACACAAAAACAUAUAUUGGGAUUUCUUCCAAGAGUGCACUAGAUCAUUCACUCUCGCCUGUGUGCUUAUAAGUUUCUUAGACUGAACAGACUUUAACUCUACACUGUACUAUGAAUACUAUUACCGUUAUUUCUCUGAAGGAUAUACAGUGUCCUAACAAGGAUGAUGAAGGACAGAGAAGCAUUUUGCCUUAAAAAGAGGAUGAGAAGAGAGUAGCUGUUGUUGUUAAUGUUGGGGUUAUUGUGACUCCUUGAGUAAUACACACAAGCUCACACACACACACACACACACACACACACACACACACACAUACAUGCUACAAGCACACACACACAGACACAGAAACAAACACACACACACACAAGGAGAUCAAGAGAUCAGAUGAAUUAGUAAGGAGUCUUCCAUGAGGAUAUAAGGCAAAAAGUCUUAUUGCAGGUGAAAUUCAGCCACUGCUAGUGGUUGUUUUAGGGCAGUUCAUGUAAUGGGAUUUUAGUGUUAUUGCCAAAAGGAAGGAUGAUGCUGAUUGUCUCAAGAGACAGAAUACUGAUUAUGCUUUGUUUCUGUGUGAACUCAGAUGUAUCUUCCUGCAGACAUACAAACAUUCACUUCUGAGUCACGUUUUACAUAGCUUUAUGUUUUAUAUAAUCCAUUUUCACCUUCACUUACAAACUCAGGCAUACAUAUUUUGUAAUUAUUCAUCUUUCAUUUCCACCUCAUUUCAUUGUGUCAUUUCCUUUGUCAUUUCUUUUAUUUUCCCAUUAGAUUCAAAUCAAAUUAGUUAUUUUGAUAUCUGAGAGAGAAGCUUGAUAAUAUAAUUUCAGAGAGAGAAUAGUCAAGUUCUGCCAUCAGUCAUCGGUACAGUUACCUUUGAGUGUACAUGUGACUGGUUGCUGUGUCACCACUAGAACUGUGUGAGAGUGUUAAUUUUGGUCAUUUAUUAUGAGUGUAUUAUGAAUGUCGGAUGAACACUGAAUUGAGUGACUGGAAAUGUUUGCAUGCUCCACUAGUAACCUAAGGAGGAGUUUCUUGCACCAUAAAUGGGUGAUGUACAACUGUACCAUGACUGAUGAGAAAGGUCUGAAAUGAUAAGUCCAGCCUUGGAAUGACUGACUGAUGAGACCAAGGCUAAAUUUGCAUCAUUAGUAUAGUGAGGAAAGAAGGUGGGUCUAAAGUUUAGAUUAAAGGUAAGUGACUGACACAGAUGAAUGAUGCAGAAACAUGGUAACAAUGUUACAGUGCAAUGUUCUGGUAUUUCCUUAUUUUCUUGUACAUCUGUAAUAAACUGUUGUACAUACUCUACUGCAUUAGCUUGUACUACAUUUUUGUACUGUAACACCAACUUACAACCUUAUUUAUAUUACUAGCUGUAAGACUUAAUGAGUUAGCUCUAGCUCUAUUAUAGGAAUGUAUUGGUUAAGUAAUGAUUGGUGAACAUUGCACCAUGUGAUAUCGAGUCAUCAGCCUUGUUAUUCACUGGCUUCCUAGGAAUGUUACCUAUUAUCUUGUUAUCUCUCCAUAGUCAAGGGUGUCAACUAAGUGUGUAGUGAAUGCACAAAAUCUUGCAUUCACUAACCAUAGCUGAGAAUGUUUAUGGUGAGUGUGCAAUGUGAUAUUCAUAUAAACAUUCUUUCCCAUAGACUUCCACUACACAUAUUAUGGAGGUUAGUAGGUGUAAAAAAAAUAUAUCUGUGCUUAUUCAUUGUUUAACUAAUGUUAUACACGAAAAGGAAGAGAAGAAAGAAAUGAGGCACUGAUAAAAUGGGAAAGAAACAGGUUGUUUUGAAGGUUAAGUGAGGGAAGGAAACAAAGUUUUGAUAAAUGUAAAUCCAUGUGAUACAUACAAGAAACAAAAUGGUUGUACAUAUUUUUUCUUCAUACAUAAUUGGAGUCUGAAUGGAUAGUUUCUCAUAUAAAUUAUAUGUACUUGAACUUGUGGAAUUGGUGAAUCAUCAUUUUUAAGGUUUACUUGGAUCCUAUACCAUCCCAUGCAUACACGAAAAAGGAAACAAAAAUGUGCCUUAAUCAUGAAGAAAAAUAAUGUGGGAAAAAAUCAAACAUUUCUCAGCCACAGCAAUUUGAUAUGGAAACAUCCACUUACUGGGAAAGAGAACUACAUGUGUAUGCAGCUGAAUGACUUACAGUUUAGUUAUUUUUCAAAGGGCAGCAACAAUAACCAUACUGUGAUACUUAUUUCUUAUUUAUUCAUGUUUUUGAGGGACUAUAGUGACAUCCAUCACCCUUGAGUAGGUGUAAAAGGAAAGAAAAUUAGCAAAGGAGAGAUAAAAAGGAAAAGGUGAAAUAAUGUAUCAUGAACUUGAAGGAGGAAGAGAAAUACGUGUGUGUGUGUGUGUGUGUGUGUUAUAUUACAUCAACCUAGUGUGCUAUAUUACCGGUCAGUGUAUUUGCCUGUGUGUGUGUGUGUGUGUGUGUGUGUGUGUGUGUGUGUGUGUGUGUGUGUGUGUGUGUGUGUGUGUGUGUGUGUGCACCAUCAUUUUUACAAGCACCACUUUUACUUUGAAAGGGGUCUCAUUUUACCAGUGAGAAUGAGUCUUAAUAUAUAUUUGUGUUCUAAGUAAAUGUAACUCACAGCAACUCGAGCCCCACCCCAAUCAACCCCACCAGCACCAUCACAACAAUGAAAGAGUCAUUCAGUUUUGCCCCACUGCCUUUAAUUUUCCUCAUUAUAUAAUGAUGUAAGGUUCAGUGGUAAAUGUUUGAGUGUGUGUGUGUGUGUGUGUGUGUGUGUGUGUGUGUGUUGUGCUGUGUUGUAUUGUGUUGUGUUAUGGUUUUAUGACUGUUGACGAGGCCUUUUGUGAAGUAGUAUAGAAAAUGUGUGCUGACACACGCACGCACAUACGCACACACACAUACAAGACAUAAUUUUGCAUUUUAUCAAGUUGCCACCCACCACCAUCAUGACCCCACCUGACCCUGCACUCAAAGAGGUCAGGACGGGCUGAAGCAGAGUCAGGUUGCGAGUCUGAUGGUGUUGAGGAAGCAUUUCAGGUUAAAGGUUUUCAUGUGCUGGUAAUAGAAGAAGGACAAAAUUAAUGGAGCAGCACCCUUAUCAUAAACUAUUGUGAGAAUUUAAUGGAUUGUGCAAUUUAUAGUGAUAAAAAUUAAGGGACUUUUUCUUUUUCAAUAACAGUGUCUUCAAUAUUAUCAUUAGCUAUUGAUGUUAACAGUAAAUGGGCUGCUCUACUUGUAUACCCAACUGUACAUGGGUAAUGUUAAGUGUGCAUCAAAAAAUGUUCAUAACAGGCAAACAGAGGCUGCAGGAUAUGGUUGGUUAAGUGCUGAAUAUAAAGUACCUAACAACUUCCAUUCCCCUUGUGUGUGUGUGUGUGUGUGUGUGUGUGUGUGUGUGAGACAAGUGACACAGAAAAGUCACCACAGGGAUAUUGAAGUUCUUUUAGUUGUGUUUUUGAAGAAAGUGGUGUGAGUAAAAUGAUUGUCAGAAGAGAUGCAUUGUGUGUGUGUGUGUGUGUGUGUGUGUGUGUGACCCUCCACCUCCCACAUACAGCUGAGGGAGGAAAGAGUCAGUGUGCUAAGCCAUCAUGAGCAGUGGUGUGUGUGUCCUCAGAGCCUGACCUGUACAUAGGGAAGAAUAUUUUUUAUAGUGAGUGGGUGCGGUGAGGGUGUGUCUGUCCACCCAUCAGCCCACCCAGAGCAGCGAUGCGUUGUGUAAAGAAUAAAGUGUUAAUGAAGGA